ACGCGUGGGUAACCUGCCUUAUAGUGGGGGAUAGCCUUUCGAAAGGAAGAUUAAUACCGCAUAAGAUUGUAGUAUCGCAUGAUAUAGCAAUUAAAGGAGCAAUUCGCUAUAAGAUGGACCCGCGUCGCAUUAGCUAGUUGGUGAGGUAAUGGCUCACCAAGGCGACGAUGCGUAGCCGACCUGAGAGGGUGAUCGGCCACAUUGGGACUGAGACACGGCCCAGACUCCUACGGGAGGCAGCAUG
rnacentral:rRNA from 1 species